CCUACGGGGGGCUGCAGUGGGGAAUUUUGGACAAUGGGCGCAAGCCUGAUCCAGCAAUGCCGCGUGCAGGAAGAAGGCCUUCGGGUUGUAAACUGCUUUUGUCAGGGAAGAAAUCUUCUGGGCUAAUACCUCGGGAGGAUGACGGUACCUGAAGAAUAAGCACCGGCUAACUACGUGCCAGCAGCCGCGGUAAUACGUAGGGUGCGAGCGUUAAUCGGAAUUACUGGGCGUAAAGCGUGCGCAGGCGGCUUUGCAAGACAGAUGUGAAAUCCCCGGGCUUAACCUGGGAACUGCAUUUGUGACUGCAAGGCUAGAGUACGGUAGAGGGGGAUGGAAUUCCGCGUGUAGCAGUGAAAUGCGUAGAUAUGCGGAGGAACACCGAUGGCGAAGGCAAUCCCCUGGACCUGUACUGACGCUCAUGCACGAAAGCGUGGGGAGCAAACAGGAUUAGAUACCCCAGUAGUC
rnacentral:rRNA from 1 species